CCUACGGGAGGCAGCAGUGAGGAAUAUUGGUCAAUGGGCGCGAGCCUGAACCAGCCAAGUCGCGUGAGGGAAGACGGUCCUAUGGAUUGUAAACCUCUUUUGUAGGGGAGCAAAGGACGCCACGCGUGGCGUUCCGAGAGUACCCGAAGAAAAAGCAUCGGCUAACUCCGUGCCAGCAGCCGCGGUAAUACGGAGGAUCCAAGCGUUAUCCGGAUUUAUGGGGUUUAACGGGUGGUGAGGGGGAUGAUAAAGUCAGGGUUAAAAUUUGGAGGCUCAACCUUUUAGGGCCGUUGAUACUGGUUUUCUUGAGUGAAGGAGAGGUAUGCGGAAUUCGUGGUGUAGCGGUGAAAUGCAUAGAUAUCACGCAGAACUCCGAUUGCGAAGGCAGCAUACUGGCGUUCAACUGACGCUGAUGCACGAAAGUGUGGGUAUCGAACAGGAUUAGAUACCCGAGUAGUC
rnacentral:rRNA from 1 species